ACUUUUCAUCGAUCUUGCAGGCACGUAGCAUCGGGAGGGGGGUGGGGGGGGGUUGCCCUCCCCCUGUUUCUCGCAGCAAAUAUUUUUCUUAAAUUUCCAUAUGAAAAAAUUGAAUCAUCAUGGAGUUGCCCCCCCCCCCCCUUUUUGGAGUGAAAUUGAAGUUAUUGAUAUACUACCCCCCCCCCCCCCCCGUAUAUUAGGAUUGUGAAGAUUUUGAAAAGGUUUUUAUUUUUUAAAUUUUUUUUUUGGCUUGUCAAGAUUUUUUGGAUGAGUCUGGCCCCCCACUUCAAAAACGAUGCUACGUGCCUGUCAUGGCUUUACAAACACGAAGAUUGUAAAUUUUGUGUCAAGCAUUUUAAAAUUCUAUGCAGCAAUUUUAUUGGGUUUCAAGUCAUUGCAUCACACUUACCAAACUAAACCCAUCUUCUGAAGUCAAGGGUUUCUGCUCCGCACCGAGUGGAGUGGACCGAAAACCCUUGGAUAGCGAAGAUGAACUGAACCAAAAGACGGAAUUUAUCAAACAAAUGUGUGGGGAUUUUUGCUUUUUACACGCACACGACCCAUCAUGCCGUACAGUAGAAGACUGCUACAGACAAAAUUUCCAUUGCCAUAGUGGGCAUAUUAUCGUCUGCAGCGGAGAUGGCCGCAAACGACACGAACCUAGAUGUACUUGUAAAGAUCUUCACUUGUCCUCAUCAACUCAUGAAACCGCAACAGCAACUCAGUCUGCCAUUCCAUCAACUCACGCUGUCGCCACGUCAACUCACGCUGCUACAACGCUUCCUCACGCUGCAGUGACGACAACUCAAGAACCAAGUGUAAAUGGUGGAUGGUCAUUCUGGACAGAAUGGUCAUCUUGCAGUGCAUCAUGUGACCAAGGAACUCAGACAAGAAAUCGCACCUGCUCAAAUCCAGCGCCCAAAAAUGAUGGAUUGUCUUGUGCUGGCGAAAAUUCUCAGAUUCAGAUUUGUUCCUUGUUUCCUUGUGCAGUCGACGGUUACAUGAGUGAGUGGGGUAGUUGGGGUGGCUGUAGCGCCACCUGUGGGGGUGGAUACCAGAUGAGGACAAGGACUUGUCAUGACCCGAUCUAUGGCGGGAAACCGUGCCAGGGAGACACCGUGGAGGUCAAUCCUUCCUGUAACAACCAGUCAUGUCCAGAUACAAGUUCAUCCUCAACUCAGCCAACAAUGGCACCAUCAACAACUUCUGCGGCUCCAGCCCAAAACAUGCCAGUGGAUGGCUACAUGGGCGAGUGGGGGAGCUGGAGUGCUUGUAGCGCCACCUGUGGGGGUGGCUACCAGAUGAGGACGAGGACCUGUCACGACCCCCUUUUUGGCGGGAAAAAUUGCACGGGAGAGGUGGUUGACCUCAAUCCAUCGUGUAAUACACUGUCAUGUCCAAGCCAAAUUUUGAACAGCUACCGGAAUGGCUUGCCCAUCUUGUGAUGACCAACUGAACUGUACUUGGAACCAGACCUGUAAUGUUGGGAGUAUAUGUAUGAUCCGCUCCUAUGAUGGUUAUCCGUUUACAACACACUGCAUCGACGCCACAGACUGUGAGAUUAUGAAGAAUUCGCUGCCCCAUUGUGAAGUGUACUGUUGUACCGACAAGGCAUGUUUGUCAAAAUAUCUGGGGGUAUAGACACAUCAACCCCAUAUACAGCUGACCAAGUUUUGUGUUGCUUUAUAUUUGUAAUAAAUACAAUUUGACUGGGUGUAUGACAUAGAGGUGUCACAUUUCAGUAAAUGAGUCUUAUGGAAUGCUAUGCUCACCUGGGGAAAAUUUCAUAUGAUACAUGUAUAGAACCUGUAUAUAAAUGUAAACCCAACUUUAUCGUCAACAUUUAACACAGUUAAUAGCCUCAAUAAGACAAUUGUGCUACACUUGUAAAUAAAAUUAUUUACAUG
rnacentral:misc_RNA from 1 species